GGAAUCUUGCGCAAUGGGCGAAAGCCUGACGCAGCGACGCCGCGUGAGUGAUGAAGGCCUUCGGGUUGUAAAGCUCUGUGGAGAGGGACGAAUAAGUGUGGUCGAAUAGGCCGCAUGAUGACGGUACCUUUUUAGCAAGCACCGGCUAACUCUGUGCCAGCAGCCGCGGUAAGACAGAGGGUGCAAACGUUGUUCGGAAUUACUGGGCGUAAAGCGCGUGUAGGCUGCUUGGAAAGUCGGAUGUGAAAGCCCUGGGCUCAACCUAGGAAGUGCAUUCGAAACUUCCAAGCUCGAGUUUCGGAGAGGAAGGCGGAAUUCUCGGUGUAGAGGUGAAAUUCGUAGAUAUCGAGAGGAACAUCGGUGGCGAAGGCGACCUUCUGGACGAUGACUGACGCUGAGACGCGAAAGCGUGGGGAGCAAAC
rnacentral:rRNA from 1 species